AAUCAACGCUGGCGGCGUGCCUCAGACAUGCAAGUCGAACGCGAAAGUUCCCUUCGGGGGGCGAGUAGAGUGGCGCACGGGUGAGUAACACGUAGGUAAUCUACCUUUGGGUGGGGAAUAACAGCCGGAAACGGCUGCUAAUACCGCAUAAUGCAGCGGCUCGACAUCGAGACAGUUGUUAAAGCGGGGGAUCGCAAGACCUCGCGCCUAAAGAGGAGCCUGCGGCGGAUUAGCUUGUUGGUGAGGUAAUGGCUCACCAAGGCAUCGAUCCGUAGCCGGCCUGAGAGGGCGGUCGGCCACACUGACACUGACAUACGGGUCAGACUCCUACGGGAGGCGGCAGUCGGGAAUUUUGGGCAAUGGGCGCAAGCCUGACCCAGCAACGCCGCGUGAAGGAUGAAAUCCCUCGGGAUGUAAACUUCGCAAGAACAGGAAGAAUAAGUGGGGACAAGUACCCCCAUGAUGACGGUACUGUUUGUAAG
rnacentral:rRNA from 1 species